UAGGAUGUGGCUCAGUGGUAGGAUGUUUGCCCAGCAUUUGCAGCACCCUGGGUUCCAGCCCCAGCACCUUAA
rnacentral:tRNA from 1 species